UACAGAGGGUGCGAGCGUUGUCCGGAAUCACUGGGCGUAAAGGGCGCGUAGGUGGCGCGACAAGUCAGUGGUGAAAGCUCGAUGCUUAACAUCGAGUCGGCCACUGAUACUGUUGGGCUUGAGCACUGUAGAGGCUAAUGGAAUUCCGGGUGUAGCGGUGGAAUGCGUAGAGAUCCGGAAGAACACCGGUGGUGAAGGCGGUUAGCUGGGCAGUUGCUGACACUGAGGCGCGACAGCGUGGGGAGCAAACAGG
rnacentral:rRNA from 1 species